rnacentral:rRNA from 1 species
UACGUAGGUGGCAAGCGUUGUCCGGAUUUAUUGGGUUUAAAGGGUGCGUAGGCGGUCCAUUAAGUCAGCAGUGAAAUACGGCAGCUUAACUGUCGAGGUGCUGUUGAUACUGGUGGACUUGAGUACUGAUGAGGUAGGCGGAAUGGACGGUGUAGCGGUGAAAUGCGCAGAUAUCAGGAGGAACACCAAUGGCGAAGGCAGCACUCUGGGACGUGACUGACGCUGAGGCACGAAAGCGUGGGGAGCAAACAGG